CCUACGGGGGGCAGCAGUGAGGAAUAUUGGUCAAUGGACGAGAGUCUGAACCAGCCAAGUAGCGUGAAGGAUGACUGCCCUAUGGGUUGUAAACUUCUUUUAUAAAGGAAUAAAACGCGGCACGUGUGCCUUUUUGCAUGUACCUUAUGAAUAAGGAUCGGCUAACUCCGUGCCAGCAGCCGCGGUAAUACGGAGGGUCCGAGCGUUAUCCGGAUUUAUUGGGUUUAAAGGGUGCGUAGGUGGGUUGUUAAGUCAGGUGUGAAAGUUUGCGGCUCAACCGUAAAAUUGCAGUUGAUACUGGCAGGCUUGAGUACAGUUGAGGUAGGCGGAAUUCGUGGUGUAGCGGUGAAAUGCUUAGAUAUCACGAAGAACCCCGAUUGCGAAGGCAGCUUACUAAACUGUGACUGACGUUGAUGCACGAAAGUGUGGGUAGCAAACAGGAUUAGAUACCCUAGUAGUC
rnacentral:rRNA from 1 species